AGCUUCCUGAACAGCUAGUCAAGCCACACAGCACGGCAAGAAGAAUAACGCUCAACAUAUGUGCGAUUACUGCCCCCUUGCGGCUCGAUUGUGUAUUGCACACAGACAUAAACUGCUCCUUGCAUGGCGUCACCCUGAAUGCUCCACUCAUUCAAGAAGUUACCUCAGCCCACUUAUCUUACGUUCAGCUCAUUUAAUUCACUUUCCCCCCUUUCCCCCCCUCGAUUGAUUUUUAUUGUUGGCCACUCAGACUUGGCGAUUGGUCUCUAUGACAACAAAUGGAGUGCGCAGAGAAAACUGGGCAGAAUAGUUUGAUGAUCUGUUCCCAGUGUUAACAGGCAGGAUAGUACGUCGGACGUGGUCGUGUCUGCUGCUACAUUUUCAUUUUCUCUGGAAAGGUGAACGAAAUGGAAAGGAGUUGUUUCUUUGUAGCACUAUGCUGAGAUCCAGAGGCGCUUCCCCACCAUGCUGGAAAUGGGCUCCUGUUCGGUUAGCUCUCAGUCUCUGACAGGGAACCACAAUGCUAGAAGCCCAGGAGGGCCUGACUGUCCAGUGGGUGGUUUGGCUGUGGGGGCAAUGUGUGGUAGCAGCACCCCCCGGCACCACAUCAUCCGCCCAUCCCCAUCAGACUGCGAGAGCUGGCAGAAGCAUCGCACAGGACUGGCUGGAGGGUCAAAGCUGUAUUCUGAAUCCCACUCCCUCCUGGAGCCCGAAAGCCUCUCAGCCAGCUAUGACACCCUCUACCUCUCACACGUGUCUGGCCACGCUCCUCCUUUACACCCAAACCGUCUCGGUCUCACCCUUGAUGUGGUUUCCACUUUUGAUGUUGGAGUCGGGAUGCUUGGGGUGGAUGGAGAUAUGGCAGUCAGUCCUAAUGUGAUCAAGAGACGGCGGGGCGGACUGAUUGAGCAGAGAGACAUUGUUAAAGCCCACCAAGCUCAUAAGAUUCAGAGCACACCUCAGGCGCGACGCAAGGAGUGGGAGAAGGAGCCGUCACCCUUCCCUCUAAUCAUCCCUGCCGCUAACACCUAAUUACCAUAAUUCACCCCUCACCUCUCAGCUAAGAAAGCUGUGACUGCUGCUGCUGCUGCACACUCCGGCAGAAACAAUGUAAUGGUAUCACUCGCUUAGCGGUGCACAGAGGAAGUGGCAGAAGUAGCAUUUGUAUCAGACAAUUAGUUGUUAGAAAUAAAUAAAUUAAGAAAACAGCUACGCUCCAUUUUUUUCUUUUCUUCCCCAAAUAGUUUUGGCUCAUCACUCCAAUGGACUGUUAUGGGGAAAUUCGAGGCGUCUUUUCAGCUUAAAUGUCAGAUAUUUUUGCCUCUUGUGCGUUCUAUUUUUAUCGCCUAUAAUGUGUUGGAGCACUAAUGAGUUGGAAGCCACACACCAUUGAUCACUGCCUUCGUCAUAGCACCAUUACAAAAGCCCCAUCAGUGCCGGUGUCGUGGUUAACUCUCCCCUGUGGUUCCUCUUUUCUUUGUCUUCUGUUUCCAUCAUCAUCCGUUUACUCUCUCUCUCUGUGUCAGUUAGAAAAAUGAUGUGAUGAUAGCCGGUGGAUUUCAUUUUUGCGUUAACUCCCUCAAAUGUACCGUUAGAUAACACCUUUUAAGGCUGAAGUUAUACAUAUGAGUUCAUAUAUUUUUGGGCAGGGGCUGUUUAGAGUCUCAUUACCAGCCCAUCAAAGACGAGGCUGUUUUUAUUUGAACAUUUGUCCCUAUAGUUACAAAUCUCCAAACUACUAAUAUGUCAAUCCUCAUCUUGGUACUUUGACAUUCUUGCCUGUCUGUGGCUAUUUUAAAGCUCUAAAAAGCAGUCAACAAAUAUCCAUUUUUCAUUAAUUUCCUAAAUCCAGUGCAUACUGUAG
ensembl:lncRNA